AAGUCGUAACAAGGUCUCCGUAGGUGAACCUGCGGAGGGAUCAUUACAGAGUUCAUGCCCUUCGGGGUAGAUCUCCCACCCGUGUUAUUAUACUAUUGUUGCUUUGGCGGGCCCGCCUCGGCCACCGGCUCCGGCUGGUGAGCGCCCGCCAGAGGACCCCAAACUCUGAAAUUUAGUGUCGUCUGAGUACUAUUUUAAUAGUUAAAACUUUCAACAACGGAUCUCUUGGUUCUG
rnacentral:misc_RNA from 1 species